UAUUGUUAGUUGCCAUCAUUCAGUUGGGCACUCUAGCGAGACUGCCGGUAAUAAACCGGAGGAAGGUGGGGAUGACGUCAAAUCAUCAUGCCCCUUAUGACCUGGGCUACACACGUGCUACAAUGGUUGGUACGACGAGUUGCGAGUCGGUGACGGCGAGCUAAUCUCUUAAAGCCAAUCUCAGUUCGGAUUGUAGGCUGCAACUCGCCUACAUGAAGUCGGAAUCGCUAGUAAUCGCGGAUCAGCACGCCGCGGUGAAUACGUUCCCGGGCCUU
rnacentral:rRNA from 1 species